rnacentral:lncRNA from 1 species
AAAAACUCUGCACCAUCCAUAUCGCCGUCGAUUGGCGGUGAUGCCUAGCCUCACAUAAUCCGGCGGUGAUUCUUUCCAAAUUCACUAAUUGAAUGUGAGGGGAUUUGUACUCUUAAAUCUGCCGCCAGCAGAUUUGGUGGUGGUGGUUUUAGAAAAGAAAUUGGCUGCGGCGGCGUCGCGAGGGGUUUUGGGUACAGCCGG